UACGGGGGGAGCAAGCGUUGUUCGGAUUUACUGGGCGUAAAGGGCGUGUAGGCGGCCACCGCAAGUCGGUUGUGAAAUCUCCGGGCUUAACCCGGAAAGGUCAACUGAUACUGCGGGGCUAGAGUGCAGAAGGGGCAACUGGAAUUCUCGGUGUAGCGGUGAAAUGCGUAGAUAUCGAGAGGAACACCUGCGGCGAAGGCGGGUUGCUGGGCUGACACUGACGCUGAGGCACGGAGGCCAGGGGAGCAAACGGG
rnacentral:rRNA from 1 species